rnacentral:lncRNA from 1 species
CUAUAUAAAUACCAAUGAAACCUUCUACCUGUCUUCUCUUUCUUUUCUUUUCAUGCUGCUCUUACCUCCUUCUCUCCAGUAGAGCACUCACCCUUCACAUCGGUGCCAUCGUUAACACUAACUCUCGCAUUGGAAGAGAGCAAAAGAUCGCCAUUGAGAUCGCAUCCCAACAAUUCAACUCCACCACUACGCUACUGCUCCAUGUCAGCAAAUCCAGCAGCAGCAGGAGCAAUCAGCUCCGACCAAUUUCAGACGGUAAUUUAGACAAAUGAUGAUAACGUGAAAGAAAAAAAAUUCGUCCCAAAUUGCUAAUAUACUAGUCAAACGCGUUUGAAUGCAGCUAAAAAUCUCAUCAAAUGGGG